ACGCUGGCGGCGUGCCUAAUACAUGCAAGUAGAACGCUGAGGUUUGGUGUUUACACUAGACUGAUGAGUUGCGAACGGGUGAGUAACGCGUAGGUAACCUGCCUCAUAGCGGGGGAUAACUAUUGGAAACGAUAGCUAAUACCGCAUAAGAGUAAUUAACACAUGUUGGUUAUUUAAAAGGAGCAAUUGCUUCACUGUGAGAUGGACCUGCGUUGUAUUAGCUAGUUGGUGAGGUAAAGGCUCACCAAGGCGACGAUACAUAGCCGACCUGAGAGGGUGAUCGGCCACACUGGGACUGAGACACGGCCCAGACUCCUACGGGAGGCAGCAGUAGGGAAUCUUCGGCAAUGGACGGAAAUCUGACCGAGCAACGCCGCGUGAGUGAAGAAGGUUUUCGGAUCGUAAAGCUCUGUUGUUAGAGAAGAACGUUGGUAGGAGUGGAAAAUCUACCAAGUGACGGUAACUAACCAGAAAGGGACGGCUAACUACGUGCCAGCAGCCGCGGUAAUACGUAGGUCCCGAGCGUUGUCCGGAUUUAUUGGGCGUAAAGCGAGCGCAGGCGGUUCUUUAAGUCUGAAGUUAAAGGCAGUGGCUUAACCAUUGUACGCUUUGGAAACUGGAGGACUUGAGUGCAGAAGGGGAGAGUGGAAUUCCAUGUGUAGCGGUGAAAUGCGUAGAUAUAUGGAGGAACACCGGUGGCGAAAGCGGCUCUCUGGUCUGUAACUGACGCUGAGGCUCGAAAGCGUG
rnacentral:rRNA from 1 species